UUCAGUUUUCACCCCUCCCCCCUCACUUCGUGACUUGGAGUUGAGGAGUAUUGAAGCUUGGCUGUGAACUGGUGUGGAGACGCUAACAGACAGUGCAUUGCAAUGAGGCAGCCAAGAGAAAAGAUUAAACCCAUAGAUGAAGCUGAUGUGCCCAUGGCAUCGUCCUCCCUCAAAGAUGAUGAUGCAUUACAAUGAGGCAGCCAAGAGACAAGUUUAAACCCAAAGAUGAAGCUGAUGCGCCCAUGGCAUCGUCCUCCCUCAAAGAUGAUGAGCAGGGCACACCGAUCUUCCUCAUGUUGAUACGCCCAUGGCAUCGUCCUCCCUCAAAGAUGAUGAGCAGGGCACACCGAUCUUCCUCAUGUUGAUAUGCCCAUGGCAUCGUCCUCCCUCAAAGAUGAUGAGCAGGGCACACCGAUCUUCCUCAUGUUGAUACGCCCAUGGCAUCGUCCUCCCUCAAAGAUGAUGAGCAGGGCACACCGAUCUUCCUCAUGUUGAUAUGCCCAUGGCAUCGUCCUCCCUCAAAGAUGAUGAGCAGGGCACACCGAUCGUCCUCAUGUUGAUACGCCCAUGGCAUCGUCCUCCCUCAAAGAUGAUGAGCAGGGCACACCGAUCUUUCUCAUGUUGAUACGCCCAUGGCAUCGUCCUCCCUCAAAGAUGAUGAGCAGGGCACACCGAUCUUCCUCAUGUUGAUAUGCCCAUGGCAUCGUCCUCCCUCAAAGAUGAUGAGCAGGGCACACCGAUCGUCCUCAUGUUGAUACGCCCAUGGCAUCGUCCUCCCUCAAAGAUGAUGAGCAGGGCACACCGAUCUUCCUCAUGUUGAUACGCCCAUGGCAUCGUCCUCCCUCAAAGAUGAUGAGCAGGGCAUACCGAUCUUCCUCAUGUUGAUAUGCCCAUGGCAUCGUCCUCCCUCAAAGAUGAUGAGCAGCAUUUCCUGAAAAUGGUGCUGAAGGGGAAAAUCCUCAAAGGAAACAAAAAUCUCCAUGAUGUCCCACAGAGAUUGGAGCAGUGAUGAGACAUUUCUGUGGGCACAUUGCUAAUGGGAGACUAUCCAUUGUGAUUAAAA